AAGGGUAGCAGGGGCGGAGCCACGGUGGGUUCAAGUGGGUUCAUUGAACCCACUGAUUUUUUGAAAAAAAUUAAAAACUUUUUUUUUUAAAAAAAAAAAAAAAUCAAAAUAGGUUUAAAUAGAAUAUUUGUGUAUUAUAUGGCAACAAGUAAAGUUGUAGCCCAGUGGUUAUUUUUACCUCUCAUCAUACAAUGAUACAAGAGUUUGUGGGUUCAGGUUUCGAAACCCAUAACUCACACUUUUAUUUUUUCAUUUUGUUUCCUUUCAUCCUGCUUCCCCUAAUCCCCUGCUUCCAGCUUUCCUCUUCCUCAUUCCCCCAAAUUGCAAAACCCUAACUUCUUCCUCCUUCUCUUAAUCUCUUCCCGUUCUUCCUCCUUGGCUCCUUCUCUUCCCGUUCUUCCUCCUUGGCUCCUUCUCUUCCCGGCGCACGGGCGCAGCACCGCAGAAGUCCGCAGCAGCCACUCAGGCACUCAGCCAGCACCGCAGCACGGCAGGUCGGCAGUAGGCCAGUAGUCACUAGUCAGCCCACUUUGCCGGUUUCCUUUAAGGCUUUAAUUAAGUCGAUUAGAAGGGGAUAAUCAGUGCUCGGUGCUCCACUGCUCCGUCAUCCACUCAUCCAUAUUUCGUGGCUCUGUAG